AGCAUCUUGGCAGGAAGCCGGACAAGAAGAGCAUUCAGUGCUUUUGCUGAACAGUCAGAUGAUGUAAAUCUUUAUCUUAAUUUGUUUGUAGUUGAUUUCAGUUGGAUCAUGAAACAUUUACAAUGGAUCAUCUUAUUUAGUUUAUUUGUUUUAUUUAUGAUCAUCUUUCCGCCGACUUUGGGUGUGCACAUAUCUAUAAUAAGAGGAUGGAAUUUAAUGUUUCCUCUACCUGAACUCCCACUAGUCAACAUUAAUACCAUUGAAUGGAAAUACCACACAGUCAGAGACAUCCUGCUGGCCACUAUUAACCUAAAAACACAGCAAACAAAACUCUUCAGCAAGAGGACUGGAAUGCAAAUAAUGGAGAAUGGAUCUCUUCACAUUGAAGAUUUAAAAGAUGAAGACUCUGGGAACUACUCGUGCACCAUCGUUUUCUAUGAUCAAAGGAUGCAGAUAGAGCAAAUUUAUCUUCAAGUACUUGAUGAUUUAAAGACUGAACCAACCAGCACAAUUAACACAACUACUGCUGAAAUCAAACAGCCAGGACUCCACUUUCCUGUAGCGGUGUUGAUUGCAAUAUCUGUAUGUUCAGCACUCAUAAUCCUUUUAAUUGUAUUCAUUAUCUUCUGCACAUGUAGAAAAAAGUGCUGCCAGACUUCAGAAGAACCUAUCUAUGUCAAUAAACCAGUUUCUCAAGGACAUAAAAGGUCACAACUGGGCAGAUGGAAAUCAGAUACAACCUUAUAAAGACCCCAAAUGAGCAAAAAGCUAGGAACACUGGAUGAUGUUGCUGCAGAUAAACUAACUCUGUCAACUACAAUUGUACAAUUGAGUGCAGCAGUAAUGACAUACAGCAUGCUUGGUGGCCAACCUGAAAGUAUCACCCUGGAUCCCUCAACAAAGGCCGAUAGGAUUUUGAAUUUGGUUUUUGUAAUAUCGUGUGGAAUAUAAUGGAUCAACCAAAGUUUGUUUUAUUCAACAUUGUAAUCUGCACAAUUUAUGUUCAUUUAUUAAAGCAAUCAAACACAAAAAAGAACAUCCAUCUUUCAUUACACGUACAUGUUUUUUUUUUAAUUAUUAUUAUGUAUAACUACACAUUAUGCAUUUGAUUAUGUACAACAAACUGUAAAAUGAGUGUAAGUAAAAGUUAAUUACGGAUUAGAUUUAAGGGAUUUAACCAAAAACAUUGCGAAAUCUAUUUGACCUGAUGAUAAACAGUUUUCUUUUUCUCCACAGCUUUAACAAUGCAAUCCAGGCUCAUUCUGAAAACGUAGUCCAGCGGACGUUUCUGGAGGCCAUGAAAUACGUCCCGGGAGGUACGUAUUUGUGCAGCUUUUGUUUUCGCGAAUACGCGAGAGGCCACUGUGUGUGCUUUUUCAUAUCUCGAAAGUCUCUCGCGAGUGCCGUUCGUGCCCGCGUUGUUCUCGCGUCAACCCACCAGAGGUCGCUGUCUGGCUGACCGAAUGAUUGACCGCACGACUGGCCAAUCGGCUGGCCCACCCUCCUCCUACCCUGAACCCAACCAGUUUUACCAGACCCGCCCGCCCGCUCACUUCCCUAAACCCGAGCAACAAUUUAGAAAAGCUGUCUAGAAAAAAAAAAUCUUUUUCUUUUUUACCCCGUUUUCAGAUUUUACCACGUUCUCACCCUGUUAUGAACUCGUUUGCUUUAUUUUUUGGAUUUUGUUUUUGUCUUACCUGGUUUCUGGAACCGCUCUUCCCUGGACUCGAACCCGGACGCCUUUGUCAACUCCUCUCUGCAUCUGAAGUCCGCCGACGCACACGAUGAGCUGACCGGACAAACUGACUGCAGCGGGAAAGCCUUCCACACGGAGGUAAGCGGUCAGCCGAAAAGCGCGAAAGGAAACGGCGUCACACCGCCCUGUAGCGUUCGCUUAAAAAAAAAUGCAAUGCAGCCAUACGUACCUCCUGGGACGUAUUUCGUGGUCUCCAGAAACGUCAACGGGACUACGUUUUCAGAAUGAGCUUGGGUUGUAACAAUGUCCAGCAAAAAGGAUUGAUUCUAAGCUUUGGUCUACAAUAAAUUACUUAGUGGCUACUUUAUUACAAAUACGCUCUGCUAGUAAUGGGUUAGACUUAUUUUUACAGGCCACACUUAUUUGAAAAAAAGUAUUUCAUUUCUGUGAACUGCAAAAUACAAUGCUCCGGGUACAUUUCAAUGCACAUUUCAGAUGACAAAUCCACUAGAGGGCGCUGUGUACAUUUUAGCCAAUCUGUUAUGUUGUACUUACACUCCCUUCUUGUACUUAUUCAUGAAUCAUGAGAAGACAGAGCUUAUUACCUAGGCCAGCAAACCACUUACCCCAACCCAAACAAUAAUGUUUUCAAAUGCAAAAUAAAAGUGCACUACAACCACC
rnacentral:lncRNA from 1 species